rnacentral:ncRNA from 2 species
UUUAGACCGUCGUGAGACA